UCCCUGGUGGCUCAGCUGGUGAAGAAUCUGCCUGCAAUGCAGGAGACCUGGGUUUGAUCCCUGGUUUGGGAA
rnacentral:tRNA from 1 species